AUCCUGGCUCAGGAUGAACGCUGGCGGUAUGCUUAACACAUGCAAGUCGAACGGUGUCUUCGGACACAGUGGCGGACGGGUGAGUAACGCGUGAGAAUCUGGCUCUAGGUCUGGGACAACCACUGGAAACGGUGGCUAAUACCGGAUGUGCCGAGAGGUGAAAGGUUAACUGCCUAGAGAUGAGCUCGCGUCUGAUUAGCUAGUUGGAAGUGUAAUGGACUCCCAAGGCGACGAUCAGUAGCUGGUCUGAGAGGACGAUCAGCCACACUGGGACUGAGACACGGCCCAGACUCCUACGGGAGGCAGCAGUGGGGAAUUUUCCGCAAUGGGCGAAAGCCUGACGGAGCAAUACCGCGUGAGGGAGGAAGGCUCUUGGGUCGUAAACCUCUUUUCUCAGGGAAGAACACAAUGACGGUACCUGAGGAAUAAGCAUCGGCUAACUCCGUGCCAGCAGCCGCGGUAAUACGGAGGAUGCAAGCGUUAUCCGGAAUGAUUGGGCGUAAAGCGUCCGCAGGUGGCAAUGUAAGUCUGCUGUUAAAGAGUCUAGCUCAACUAGAUAAAAGCAGUGGAAACUACAUAGCUAGAGUACGUUUGGGGCAGAGGGAAUUCCUGGUGUAGCGGUGAAAUGCGUAGAGAUCAGGAAGAACACCGGUGGCGAAGGCGCUCUGCUAGGCCGUAACUGACACUGAGGGACGAAAGCUAGGGGAGCGAAUGGGAUUAGAUACCCCAGUAGUCCUAGCCGUAAACGAUGGAUACUAGGCGUGGCUUGUAUCGACCCGAGCCGUGCCGUAGCUAACGCGUUAAGUAUCCCGCCUGGGGAGUACGCCGGCAACGGUGAAACUCAAAGGAAUUGACGGGGGCCCGCACAAGCGGUGGAGUAUGUGGUUUAAUUCGAUGCAACGCGAAGAACCUUACCAAGGCUUGACAUGUCGCGAAUCCUGGUGAAAGCUGGGAGUGCCUUCGGGAGCGCGAACACAGGUGGUGCAUGGCUGUCGUCAGCUCGUGUCGUGAGAUGUUGGGUUAAGUCCCGCAACGAGCGCAACCCUCGUUUUUAGUUGCCAGCAUUAAGUUGGGCACUCUAGAGAGACUGCCGGUGACAAACCGGAGGAAGGUGGGGAUGACGUCAAGUCAGCAUGCCCCUUACGCCUUGGGCUACACACGUACUACAAUGCUCCGGACAGAGGGCAGCAAGCAUGCGAAUGCAAGCAAAUCCCGUAAACCGGAGCUCAGUUCAGAUCGCAGGCUGCAACUCGCCUGCGUGAAGGAGGAAUCGCUAGUAAUUGCAGGUCAGCAUACUGCAGUGAAUUCGUUCCCGGGCCUUGUACACACCGCCCGUCACACCAUGGAAGCUGGUAGUGCCCGAAGUCAUUACUCCAACCUUUCGGGGAGGAGGAUGCCUAAGGCAGGACUGGUGACUGGGGUGAAGUCGUAACAAGGUACCGUACCGGAAGGUGUGGCU
rnacentral:rRNA from 1 species